rnacentral:rRNA from 1 species
UACGGAGGGGGCUAGCGUUAUUCGGAAUUACUGGGCGUAAAGCGCACGUAGGCGGAUUAGUAAGUUGGGGGUGAAAUCCCAGGGCUCAACCCUGGAACUGCCUUCAAAACUACUAAUCUUGAGUUCGAGAGAGGCAAGUGGAAUUCCGAGUGUAGAGGUGAAAUUCGUAGAUAUUCGGAGGAACACCAGUGGCGAAGGCGGCUCACUGGCUCGAUACUGACGCUGAGGUGCGAAAGCGUGGGGAGCAAACAGG